GCGCGUACCAAGGGGUGCCGAAUGAGGCUGAGAUCCACCACGUGGGAACCCUUUUACCUGAUCCGGAUAAUACCGGCGUAGGGAUGGUUAACAAAACAGCC
rfam:Aestuariibacter aggregatus strain CGMCC 1.8995 genome assembly, contig: Ga0079874_102